CUGCCUCUUUAACAAGUAGAAAUGAUACCCACAUGUAGAAAAUUAAAACUAGACCCCUAUCUCCGAUGUUGUACAAAAAUCACCGCAAAAAGAAUCAAAGACCUUAAUGUAAGACAUGAAACUUUGAAACUACUAGAGAAAAAUGUAAGAGAAACACUUCAAGAUGUAACUAUCCUUUCCCCUCCCCUCCCCUCCUCUCCUCUCCAGUAAGGGAAGAGCAUCAUCAGGCCAGUCCUGAUUGGUCCAACGUCAGCCAAUCAUAACACUUCUAUCCUCGCAGCUGCUGAUUGAUCGAGCGUCCACCAAUCAUAACACUCACAUCUUCACAGCUACUGAUUCGUUUACCUCCCAGGUCUAAGCCAAUUGGAACAUUCCAUGGAGGACCGGGUCCAAAGGUCUCAUGAUUUAGUGGUGUCUGCAGACCUGGACUUCUGUGUCAUGUCCCUCCCCUCCCAACCCAGUCCCAUAUCUUUUCUCAGCCCACCUCCCCAUCACCUGUGGGCACCUGCUGGUCCCAUCUCAUCAGACUUGCCCUCGACUUGAGAAUGAGGAGGGAGCAGGUUCACUGAAUGGAACACCACCUGUCUGCCCCAUGCUUCCCGGGAGGAUACCAGAGCGUAUGCCCUAGGAUGUGCAGAGGCCAGAAUGGAGACACACAGGUCAGGGGUUCAGAGGCCAAGAUGCUGAGCCUGAUGCUGAGCCUGCUGGCGCUAGGGGUGUCCCUCCUGUCCAGCUUGGUCCACAUCAGCCCCUGGGUUCGCUCAUCCACUCCCAGUGGGUGCUGACUGCAGCUCACUGCCUAAGACCAUGAGUGUCCUUGGAGAUAGCAGGUGGAGCAUGGUUUCCUCCAUGGUGCCAAGUGCACUUGGCCUGUUCCAGAUAGAGUUCCUUUCCCUAUGAAUGUCACCGAUCCCACAAAAAUCCGGGUGCAACUGUGAGCAGCACCUCCAUUACCACAUCCAGCUGCUGCCCAUCAGCCGGAUCGUCUCACACUCCCGGUUCUACACCGUCCGAAAUUGCACAGACAUCGCCCUGCUGGAGCUGGAGGACCCUGGGAACAUCUCCAGCCACACCCACCCCAUCUCGCCACCUCCCACCUCAGAGAUUUUCCCCUCCACAACACUGUGCUGAAUGACACGCUGGGGUGAUGUGGACACCAGUGCGUGGCAGGGACGGCGACGUCUUGAGUGGGUAGGAACUAGGUGGCUCCACGACCCCAGCCUUGAUUUUUCUUUAGCAUCAAGAACUGACAAGCUGGCUCAGGGUGGAAACUUGGAGAUCUGAGGAGGGGAGGUGGCCAAGGCACCAGGUGCAGGAGCAGAGCCUUGGAGUCCUCAGGCCUGGGAUACCCUGUGCGUGGAGACCCUGUGCGUGGAUUCUACACGUGUGUGGUCUCAUUUCUCAUCCACCUUGGGGGGUUGGAGGGGGGAGUUCGGGUUUCCCAGCAUACCUCUCCAAAGCAGCAAGGCAGGAAAACAGCAAAUAAAGCUUCCGAAAAGAGAGACCCAGAAGCAGCGUGUACACUCUGGGAGUCUGAGGCAAGACGAUUGCAAUUUCAUCCUAGCCUGGGCAAGGUGGCAAAGUUGUGAAAACCAGUCUGAAA